rnacentral:rRNA from 1 species
AUCUGGGCGGCGAAAUUCAGAAUGGUUGCGGCGAGCUUCGCGCACGUCGUGGCCGUUUGAUAUUUUCGUCGCCGUGUCAGACGUCGCGACCUGUUUGUCGUCGGUCCUUGCUCGGAGGAAUCGCGAACGAGUUCGUUGUGGUCGUGUUUCGGCGCGUCUCACGGCGAAGUCGCGGGUUUUUCUGGCUGACGACGGACAGUAAGCAAUGGUGGCCGAUGUCGUGUCUCGUACGCGGCCUCGGUGCCGGUCAGCGACGAUUUCUUCGGGCCUCUUUCCGACCCGUCUUGAAACACGGACCAAGGAGUCUAACAUGCGCGCGAGUCGCGGGGUAUCGAGCGUACUACGGUGCGCUCGUCACAUUACGAAACCCGUACUUUGAAGGCGUAAUGAAAGUGAAUAGGGAAGAUGGUGUUCCGAGUUAACGUACCGUGAUCCUAGUGUUGCGGCCGGACGCCCGCAUUCCCGGGGCGUCUCAAUGGCUCGUCGCGGAUGCGGACGGUCGUCCUUCGGGGCGGUCGUCGGUCUGCGACGGUCCGA